UUCAUAAGGUCAGCUGUUCCCUCUUAGGGACGUGGGUGGCGCUAGACCACAGCGCCACCCACGUCCCUAAGAGGGAACAGCUGACCUUAUGAAU
rnacentral:miRNA from 1 species